UACGUAGGGUGCAAGCGUUGCCCGGAUUUAUUGGGCGUAAAGGGCUCGUAGGCGGCCAACUAAGUCAGACGUGAAAUCCCUCGGCUUAACCGGGGAACUGCGUCUGAUACUGGAUGGCUUGAAUCCGGGAGAGGGAUGCGGAAUUCCAGGUGUAGCGGUGAAAUGCGCAGAUAUCAGGAGGAACACCAGUGGCGAAGGCGGUGCUCUGGGCCGGAACUGACGCUGAGGAGCGAAAGCGUGGGGAGCAAACAGG
rnacentral:rRNA from 1 species